rnacentral:tmRNA from 1 species
GGGGGUGCUUUGGUUUCGACAGGAUUCCAGAGGCGCUAGUUGCAUGCCGAGGUGGGCUGGCCUCGUAAAAAGCCCAAAAAACAUAAGUGCCGAUAAUUACGAUUACGCACUCGCUGCCUAGUUGCAGCGCCGCAACAUGACCCUCUCCUGCUGGGAAAUGACCUGCGGACGUAAUGCGGGAUAGGGUUUUGCGUUUGCCUUGGCGCAAAGCCUGAAACUCCAAGGCUAGUUUUUGCUGUGCGCCAACCUUUACGGGCGUUUUCAAAAGCGAAACCUUAAAUUCAAAGGAAACGCAUGUAUGAGCGACCGCCAACGGGAUUUUGGACAGGGGUUCGACUCCCCUCACCUCCAUAU